rnacentral:rRNA from 1 species
CCUACGGGUGGCAGCAGUGAGGAAUAUUGGUCAAUGGCCGUAAGGCUGAACCAGCCAAGUAGCGUGAGGGAAGACUGCCCUAUGGGUUGUAAACCUCUUUUAUGCGGGGAUAAAGGUGUCCACGUGUGGAUGUUUGCAGGUACCGCAUGAAUAAGGACCGGCUAAUUCCGUGCCAGCAGCCGCGGUAAUACGGAAGGACCGGGCGUUAUCCGGAUUUAUGGGGUGUAAAGGGAGCGUAGGCGGGUCUUUAAGCGUGCCGGGAAAUUUUGUGGCUCAACCAUGGGAGUGCGGCGCAAACUGGAGACCUUGAGUGCGCGGAAGGCAGGCGGAAUUCGUGGUGUAGCGGUGAAAUGCUUAGAUAUCACGAAGAACCCCGAUGGCGAAGGCAGCCUGCCGCAGCGUUACUGACGCUGAAGCUCGAAAGCGCGGGGAUCGAACAGGAUUAGAUACCCCAGUAGUC